rnacentral:rRNA from 1 species
CCUGGUUGAUCCUGCCAGUAGUCAUAUGCUUGUCUCAAAGAUUAAGCCAUGCAUGUCUAAGUACAAGCCGAUUUAAGGCGAAACCGCGAAUGGCUCAUUAAAUCAGCUAUGAUUCAUUGGAUCUGUACCCACACUUACUUGGAUAACUGUGGUAAUUCUAGAGCUAAUACAUGCACCACGUCUCUGACCGCAAGGGAAGAGCGCUUUUAUUAGUUCAAAACCGGUCGGGCCUCGGUCCGUCACCCCACCGUGUUGAAUCUGAAUAACUUGUCGCUGAGCGCACGGUCUCCGCACCGGCGCCGCCUCUUUCAAGUGUCUGCCUUAUCAGCUUUCGAUUGUAGGUUAUGCGCCUACAAUGGCUAUAACGGGUAACGGGGAAUCAGGGUUCGAUUCCGGAGAGGGAGCCUGAGAAACGGCUACCACAUCUAAGGAAGGCAGCAGGCACGCAAAUUACCCACUCCCGGCACGGGGAGGUAGUGACGAAAAAUAACGAUGCGAGACUCAUCCGAGGCCUCGCAAUCGGAAUGAGUACACUUUAAAUCCUUUAACGAGGAUCUAUUGGAGGGCAAGUCUGGUGCCAGCAGCCGCGGUAAUUCCAGCUCCAAAAGCGUAUAUUAACGCUGCUGCUGUUAAAGGGUUCGUAGUUGAAUUGUGGCUCACCGAGCCUUGCGGUUCCGUCCUCUAUGGGCUUCCGCACUCGUGACGCCGUGAACAUUGACACAAGAAACGCGGGAGUGGUUCCUUCUCCAACAUCGCAUGUCACGCAUGCGGAGGGGCGCCCGUGAUUUUUACUGUGACUAAAAAAGCGCGACCAAAGCAGUUCGGUGCGCGGACCCUGAAUUAUCAAGCAUGGGAUAACACUUGCCCUACGGAUGUUCCGUUUUGGCUUUUUGUUGGUUUUAUGAAGUCUGAUGGGACAUCUAUACGGAGCCCGCUCGACCUGGACCACCACUUAACACUACACACACACGCUUCCCGCCCUUCACGGCGGGUUUGGUCGUUUCCUUCUGAAUGAAAAACAAAAAACGGGGAGAGAAGAGCAGAAGAAAUCGAAUUGUAGGCGUAGAUGGUGAAAUUUUAUGACCGCACAGCGACGAACUACACGAAGGCAUUUUUUUUUUUCAUAACCCUUCCUCAAUUCAAGAACAAAGUUGCCGGACGAUCCGAAGAUGAUUAGAGACCAAUUGUAUGUCCGCCACCACAAACGUGACACCCAUGACAUUGCCGGGAAUUAUUUGGGCUCGUGCUGGCGGGCUUGCUCGUCGGUACAUCCCAUGCUUUCACAAUUUACGUGCAUGUUCAACCUGCCCCUUACACCGGGCACUACGGGAAUAUCCUCAGCACGUUCUACUUUAACUUCACGCGAAAGCUUUGAGGUUAUAGUCUCAGCGGGGGAGUACUGUUCGCAAGAGCUGAAACCUUAAUAGAAAUAUUACCGGAAUGGCACCACAAGACGUGGAUCGUGCGGUUAAUUUUACUCAACACGGGGAACUUUACCAGAUCCGGAGAGGGUGAAGGAUUGACUAGAUCUGAGUGUUCUUUCUCGAUCCCUUCAAUGGUGGUGCAUUGGCCGCUUUUUGUGGUCGGCGGGUGCGCAGUGAUUUGUUCGGUUCUUCCCUUUAACGACGAAUCCAAGCUGCGCAGUAGAAUACCAGGAUUGUCCAAAAGACAGCAAUUCUUCUGUUUUCCCACCUCAGGUGGCAGCUGCCACAUCCCGUUGGCUUCUUCUCUGCCAGUUUCUUGCUUCGCGCAAGGUGAGAUUUUUGGGAACAGCAGGUCUGUGAAUGCUCCCAAUGUUCUGGGCGACACGCGCACUACAAUGUUCAGUGAGAACAAGAUUUCCGUCAAAAGAAAUCUGCUUGAUCAGAGAGCGGAGGAAUCGUCGGAAAUCACAUAGACCCGAUUGGGACCGAGGAUUGCAAUUAUUGGUCGCGCAACGAGGAAUGUCUCGUAGGCGCAGCUCAUCAAAAACUGUGCCGUUACGUUGCCUGCCAUUUUGGUACACACCGCUACCGUCGUUGUUUCCGAUGGUUGGCAAAAUGCAGGUUGCUGGACCGCAGGCUUCUGGCCAAGCGAGAAGGCAACCGACAUUUCAUCAUAGAGGAAGCAAAAGUCGUAACAAGGUAGCUGUAGGUGAAACCUGCAGCUG